UACCGCUGAACUGCAUUGGUUUAGUGGUUAAAACAUUUUAUGGCUUACAGAUGGGCAUGCGUAUGAUUAGAUAGUUGGUAGGGUAACGGCCUACCAAGUCAACGAUCAUUAGGGGUUCUGAGAGGAAGGUCCCCCACACUGGUACUGAGACACGGACCAGACUCCUACGGGAGGCAGCAGUGAGGAAUAUUGGUCAAUGGGCGAGAGCCUGAACCAGCCAAGUCGCGUGAAGGAAGAAGGUUCUAUGGAUUGUAAACUUCUUUUGUAAGGGAAUAAAAAGAGUUACGUGUAACUUAUUGUAUGUACUUUACGAAUAAGGAUCGGCUAACUCCGUG
rnacentral:rRNA from 1 species